rnacentral:misc_RNA from 1 species
AAGUUGUUCCUUCGAGGAGUGUAUUUAGUAAUGAUCAAAAGCAAUUCUCCUCUGUCCUCAGAACUAGAGUAAAUUGGCCUCGUAGAUGCUGUAAUGGUGUAGCUAUUGUAAAAUGUGAGCCAAAUGAUGUUGGCUUUAUGGUAAAAGAUUUCUCUGUCGUAAUGAUAGGUGGAAACACCAUCCGUUCAAAGCCAAGCAAUAAGUACUCUGACAGCAUAGUAAUAUCAGGACUUAAUACGGAUCAUUCUGAGACAGAGGUACUCGAGAUUUUGAGUGGAGCUACAGAUGGGAAAAUUCUGGAUUUUUUCUUUGUGAGAGGAAGUGCUGUGGAAAAUCCUCCAGUUGCAGCUUGUGAAGAAGCACUUAGGAGAGAAAUCUCCCCCUUCAUGCCUAAAAAAGCACCUUUUGUCCAGUCUAUUCGUGUUCAGGUCUUCCAACCAGAACCAAAGGAUACUUACAUGCGAGCGUCUAUCAUGUUUGAUGGAAGUCUUCAUCUUGAAGCAGCUAAGGCUUUGGAGCAUAUUGAUGGCAAGGUUUUAUCUGGAUGUCUUCCCUGGCAGAAGAUAAGAUGUCAGCAACAGUUCCACAGCUCUGUUUCCUGUCCUGCACCUGUUUACCAUGUUAUUAGGAACCAGCUGGAUUCUCUACUCCCAUGCCUCCAGCGAAGAAAUGGUGUGGAGUGCAAUCUGGAGAGAAAUGAGAAUGGUUCUUUUAGGGUUAAAAUAUCUGCAAGUGCUACAAAGAUUGUGGCAGAACUGAGAAGGCCAUUGGAGCAACUGAUGAAAGGCAAGAUUGUGGAUCAUGUGGGAAUUUCUCCAACUGUUGUUCAACUUCUAUUUUCUAGGGAAGGGAAUAAUAUCAUGAAGAUGGUUCAGCAAGAAACAGGAACCUAUAUUCUUUUUGACAGGCAUAGCCUUUCUGUGAGAAUCUUUGGUUCCUCCGACAAGAUUGAUAUGGCUGAGCGGAAGUUUGUUAACUCCCUUCUGGCACUACAUGAAAGCAAGCAACUUGAAGUGCAUCUUCGUGGAGGACUUUUGCCUCUUGACCUGAUGAAAAGAGUUGUUCAGAGUUUUGGACCAGAUCUUAGUGGUCUCAAACUAAAGGUGCCCGAUGCAGAAUUCUCUCUGAACACAAAGCGUCAUUGCAUCUCUGUCAAAGGUACCAAAGACAUGAAGCAAAAAGUUGAGGAGAUAAUUUCCGAAAUUGCUCACAGUGGUCUUCCAAGUAUAAUGAUGGACAAUGAGACGGACUGCCCCAUUUGCUUGUGUGAACUGGAGGAUGCUUACAGACUUGAAGGUUGUACCCACACCUUCUGUCGGUCGUGCUUGCUGGAGCAGUGCGAGUCUGCAAUCAGAAGCCGGGAAGGUUUCCCUCUAUGCUGUAUGCAUAAAGGUUGUGGGGCACAUAUUCUGGUUUCUGAUUUGAGGUCUCUGUUGUCGAAUGAUAAGUUGGAGGAACUUUUCAGGGCUUCUUUAGGGGCAUUUGUAGCAGCAAGUGGGGGUCUCUACCGGUUUUGCCCCUCCCCUGACUGCCCUUCAGUUUAUCAUGUUACUGAAUCAGGAGAAGCUGGUGCACCUUUUAUCUGUGGCGCAUGCUAUGUGGAGACGUGUACGAGUUGCCACCUGGAGUAUCACCCCUACAUCUCAUGCGAGAAGUACAAGGAGUUCAAGGACAACCCGGAUUUCUCUCUAGAGGAAUGGGCCAAGGGGAAAGAGAAUGUGAAGAAAUGUCCUGUUUGCGGGUUCACGAUAGAGAAGAUAGAUGGCUGCAAUCAUAUCGAGUGCAAGUGUGGAAAACAUGUUUGCUGGGUUUGUUUGGUAUUCUUCAUCAGCAGCGACGAUUGCUAUAACCAUCUGAGGUCUCUUCACCAGGCCAUUAUGUGAGGUGCAAAAAACUAAAACUCUGUAAAUAUUCUGCUUGUGUAUAUAUUUCUGGAGCUUUGAAUUACAUCUAAACAAAUGAAUGUAGUAGUAUAUACAAUAGUAAAACCAUCUAAAUAUUACCCCUUUAAGUAUGAUGUUUAUAUAGACACUUGUGUAAUUAUGUGUUCACAACUUUUAACUCUUUUAGAACCAUCUAAAU